rnacentral:rRNA from 1 species
CUGGGUUGGGAUGAGUGGCGAACGGGUGAGUAACACGUGAGUAACCUGCCCUCUUCUUUGGGAUAACGGUCGGAAACGGCUGCUAAUACCGGGUAUUCACUGUCCUUCGCAUGGGGGGUGGGUGGAAAGGUUUUUUCUGGUGGGGGAUGGGCUCGCGGCCUAUCAGCUUGUUGGUGGGGUGAUGGCUUACCAAGGCUUUGACGGGUAACCGGCCUGAGAGGGUGACCGGUCACAUUGGGACUGAGAUACGGCCCAG